UAAAAUGAAAGCGGUACUUCUUCUCGCGGUUGUCGCACUCGUGUGCGCCCAAGCAUUCGCCGGCCCCUACAGAGGUCAAAUGCAAGUAUGGGAUAAUAAUUAUAGAUAUAGCCCCAUCGAUCCGAACCGCGUAUAUUUUGGCAACUAUAGGCCUUACGAUCCAUCUAUGG